GCUACAAACGGCAAUGAUGUCUGCCUUGAACCGCUCUACCCAGAGCUGAUGACUUCUACUUUAAG
rnacentral:ncRNA from 1 species